AUAACCCUUGUGCUCACUAGCCCCAGAAUUACUGUUAGCUGGUGAACACAUCCUUGAUACAAAGUUUCCAAGAAAUUACAUUAUUUCGUGUACAAGAUCGUGACGGUCCAUGAUGUACAACAAUAUUUCUAGUGCCUGAUGGCAAAAGCGGUUAGUGGAUCACCAGCGUCUAUGAGACUCCAUUUCCCAUAAGAACAGCUAGGGAUGAAAAUGGACCGAAAAUGGAUGGAAUUGGGUGCUACCAUAUUUGUUUUCAUUUUUUUUUGCAAAAGUAGAAACGAAUACAGAAACCCUGAAAAUGAAUAUGAAAACAGAUACUAUCGGAAAUAGACACAAAGCAAAUACAGAGCGGACACAGAAACAUAAGUGGGCAUUGUCCGGAAAUUUAAAACCCCUUGAGUCAUGUAGAAAUAAACAUAGAACACAAAAAAUGAAAUGUUACCAUGGCUAAAAAUAAUAUGAUUACGUUGGCACCUUAGCAUAGUAUAGUAGUAGUACUGGACAAUUGCGUAUAGGGUCUAAUUGAAUACCUAUGUAGUAAUUGGGCCUCAAAUGACCCAUUAUGAUCAUUGUGUCAUUGUGCAUUGUUUGGUAGUUGGGGUACAAAGCAGCCAUAGGCCUAUACAAAAAAAAGUAAAUUUCAUAUUUGUGGAGACGGAAAGUUCUGUUUCCACCUCCGUUCCACCGGAAAACACCGUUCUGUUUUUGUUUCC
rnacentral:lncRNA from 1 species